rnacentral:rRNA from 1 species
UUUUGGACAAUGGGCGCAAGCCUGAUCCAGCCAUGCCGCGUGCGGGAAGAAGGCCUUCGGGUUGUAAACCGCUUUUGUCAGGGAAGAAAUCUUCUGGGUUAAUACCCGGGGGUCCUGACGGUACCGGAAGAAUAAGCACCGGCUAACUUCGUGCCAGCAGCCGCGGUAAUACGUAGGUGGCAAGCGUUGUCCGGAUUUACUGGGCGUAAAGAGCGCGCAGGCGGUCAGAUAAGUCGAAUGUGAAAGCCCCCGGCUCAACUGGGGAGGGUCAUUCGAUACUGUUCGACUCGAAGGCAGGAGAGGGAAGCGGAAUUCCCGGUGUAGUGGUGAAAUGCGUAGAUAUCGGGAGGAACACCAGUGGCGAAGGCGGCUUCCUGGCCUGUUCUUGACGCUGAGGCGCGAAAGCUAGGGGAGCAAAC